AGGGAUUUAGCUCAGUGGUUCCAGUGCCUGCCUCGGAAGCACAAGGUCCUGAGUUCAAUCCUCAGUACCCCCC
rnacentral:tRNA from 1 species